AUGCUCGACGACCGUUGCCGCCAGCCCUCGCUCCCUGUCAUCAGACAGUAUAUCCAUGAGAAGAGUGCAUUCAGGUUCGUUGUCUUCCGUGAUAACGGGGCUAUAGCCUCCGAUCAAAAACUCUGGCCAAUCAUCCAGCUCUCUAAGUUCCAUAAACUCCUGGGCGCCUGUGAUGGCUUUCUCAUCUUGUCUGGCGGAUCCGAUUUUUGGAUCUGCAACCCAGCCACUCACAAAUGUGCUCCACUACCACAACCUCGAGAUCCAUCGUCAUCACGAGGGGGUUCCCACAUCUACAUAGCCGGCUUUUACCGGCACCAUCCAUCUGGGGAAUACCGAGUGCUCUGGUUCUCCCAUGGCUGCCAACGUGGCUACGUUCUCACGGUAGGAUCCGACAUGCCGAGAAUCAUCAGUCGGCCAUCAGUAUCAUCGCGUUUGCCGAAAUGCAAGCGCCAAGGGGUCUUCGAUUCCCGCUUUAGUUCACAAGUCUACCACCACUGCAGCAUGCACUGGUUAACAGGAAUCUACAUGGAGACUGCCGUGGACAUUAUGGUGUUUGACACAAUUACUGAGACGUUCCGGUGGAUGCGCAGUCCUGACCAGUUGGGCUGUCGGGUGUCGUUGUUGGAGAUGGGCAACAAGCUUGCUUCAUGUAGCCACAAUGUUGGCAGCAUAGAGAUUUGGGUGAUGCAAGACUAUGAGGCUGAGGCCUGGGCCUUGAAUUACAGGAUUAACUUGGUAACGAUGAAGACACCACCACAGCUUGAUUUUAGUGUGAGACGUAUUUCUAAUAUAGCACUGCUUAACAAGCGUGAGCUGCUGAUCUGGUGUUGGACUCCAUCGUGGGGUCAUGACUAUCUGUUGCACUAUGACAUUGACGAAAAGUUGUUGGGAUGUUACAAAUUGAAAGAUGGAACGUAUUCAGUAUACUUCACUAAUCAGUACAUUCAGGAGAGCAUGCUUCCACUUCCGUUCUGUGAGAUGCAAGAAGAAGGUGGUGUGGAUAAGGUACCUCCAUUCCUGAUAGUGCUAUAA
rnacentral:rRNA from 1 species